rnacentral:lncRNA from 1 species
UUCCAAGAGACCCCAACUCUGGCAGGGAAGAUGAUGGGUACAUCCUGGCUUUUGUGCACGACGAGAAGACAUGGAAAUCAGAGCUGCAGAUAGUGAACGCCACGAAUUUACAGCUAGAAGCUUCUGUGAAACUUCCCUCACGAGUUCCCUAUGGAUUCCACGGCACCUUCAUAAGCUCCAAGGAAUUAGAGAAGCAAGCUUGAUUAUGUAUAGAUUACAUAUAUAUGCAUAUACAUAGCUGCUUGGUGUCAGAUUGCAGAGGACGAGAGUGUAAAGGACGAGGAAAAGGAGGAGAUGUACCAGAGGGAUGGUCCGCAUAUGCGUCCCCGGAAUCUCCAAACUCUCUACAGUAACUAUCCACUAGCUUCAUGUGUUUUUACUCUGCUUAAUUUUUUGUUUUCUUCUGCGAGAAAGUUUUGAGGGACCAGCUCGUAGCUUUUGGUGUAGCU